UAAUACAAUAGAGGAAGGAAGAAGGGGGGUAAAGAGGAAGAGGGGUGGUGGUGUUGUAAUUCCCCAGUGAGAGAGAAAGGGGGGGGGGGUGCUUGCAUCGCUUGCCACCAAAAUCAAGUCAACAUUCACAACACAGUAAGCUGCCACCAUCUAGUCUUUAUUAAGAGCGCUAGAUUCUCUUCUCUUUACAACUUGAUGUUGUAAAGAGAUUAAUACCAGACCUGUUGGAUCACACAAUAAACGAUAUUUAAAUGACUUAAUUAUUCACAAAUCACAGCCUUCUCAUUGGCUCAUUUCGCACCUCUUGAAUUCAACACAACGCACUAAUGGUCAACCUUUGACCUGAACCCUGGGCUCUCGUAAACAUUCGCGCUAGAUUCAACUCGUGCCACGAGCAGCCUGGCUCAUCUCCACACUGUUCCACACUUCAAGUAGCUUGUAUUUCUUCAUUUAGACAUCAUCAAGCCUGCCGCACUGUGAACAGGGGCGUCGAGAUAAUCCAUCGGCAUUAGAAUGAAUUCGACCUGCUCUGUGCACUAAGGGAUUGGUUCCACAUUGCUUUCCAUGCUACGAACAUGACGAGCUGGUCGAGUACGUUCACGAGCCUUCUCAGCCUUGCCGAAAGACUCAGUUGCCAAUCCUGCUCGGAUAGCAUCAUCAAGCGUUAUUGCAUGGGCGCGGAAAAUUCCUGCUCGAACUUCUACAUCCUCGAUAGCAUCAGAAAAGUGCCCUCGUGCAAGCCUCUCUUGUGCAUCUCUGCUUAACUCCGGGUAUGCCAGACAAGUUAAAUCUCUGAUUGCCUGACCUAGCUCCUGUAAGCUCUCCUUUGGUUGACGACGCCUCGUCCUCAAUUCCAAUAAGAAAUUCUCAGCAUCCUCUCCUGGACCAAAUCUACGCUCCAAAUGUGACGCAAGUUCAGAAUAAGUAAGCUCACGACCAAUGGGAAUAUUGUUCAACACUUUCAGUGCUGCUCCUUGAAGUCUUGUGGCUAGAAAUUGUCCAGCCUCCACAUCAUUCCAUCUAUUUAGCCUCAUGCAGACAUCAAAAUGUCGGCGAUAAUCUGUCCAUGGAAUUCUGCCUGCAAACUUGUCUGGAAGAACAUCUCUCAUUCCAGAGUUUGAACCUCUUCGUCUCCUAGAGUCGGUGGAUUGGUUACUCGCAACAUAAAGCGGAUGAUUCUGGAAGUCAGUAGGUGUUAACACCUGGCGCCUCUCUCCAGGUAUAGCAUCUCCAAAGCCUGACAUCUCAACAGCGAUUUCCGGAUCUCGCUCGUCUAUUGCCCAGCGUCUUUGGACUUCUUUCUCAUCAUUGCCAGAGUCACCGGCUGCCAUUUCUCCAGGUUGCUCACUAACAGGAGCAUCCAUCUCAAUCUCGUAAAUCCCUAUUUGAUUAAUUUUGAGUAACCAACAAAAAUAUCUGUCACCUUGUACCUUUACAAUGUAAAAGGAGUAGAGCUCCUUCUUAAUAUUUAUUCACAUUGAAUAUUCAUUGUGCAUGUUAUGUAGAGUACACUAACUAAAUCUUAACUAAGUAACUAUAGGUACACUAUUACUCUUGGUAUAGCUUGGUAUGCACUUCUGGAUGACUAUUGAUUCUGAACUCGAGUCCUUUAUUUCACAGUAACGGCAGUACUCCUUUGACUGCCUUACUCGAAUACAAACUAAACUAUCGGCUCAACAGAUCCUUGCUGUCUCUUGCUUAAGCUUUAGUCUUGACCCACUCGAUUCAGACCUCAAUACCAAUUCUGCUAACUCAUAACCACUUAAGCACAAUCUACAUAAUUACAUGUAUGCCGUGCACUGCACACAGUAAAAGUCAGCUCAUGGAAUAGAUUCAAGCAAAAGUUAGUCAGUGAUCAGCCCUUCUCUUCAACCAGAGCCUUGCUCACGAGUGUCCGGCAUCAAUAACCCUCAGUGGAUUUGUCGCCAUCAACAUCAAGCCAUAGCAUAACCAUACUUAAUAUACAGUAACCCUACUUGUAAGUUAGUAACGUACUUAGUCUGGUUCACAUUAGCUACUUAAUGCUAAAGUUUAUCUGUCAUGUCUAAAACAUCGUAAACAACUUGCUGGUACUUUUACUUGCCAAUUCACCUCAAAAAUUCACUGGAAGAAUACUCAUCUCUAAUUAUUUGCAACUACAAAAUUUCUCAAGAAAAAUGCGCCAUUUUGUUCGAACGAAAUCAUCCCACCGCUGCCACCAAAUGUGACGCAAUAGGGGGGGGGGGGGUGGUUAAUAGAUAAUACAAUAGAGGAAGGAAGAAGGGGGGUAAAGAGGAAGAGGGGUGGUGGUGUUGUAAUUCCCCAGUGAGAGAGAAAGGGGGGGGGGGUGCUUGCAUCGCUUGCCACCAAAAUCAAGUCAACAUUCACAACACAGUAAGCUGCCACCAUCUAGUCUUUAUUAAGAGCGCUAGAUUCUCUUCUCUUUACAACUUGAUGUUGUAAAGAGAUUAAUACCAGACCUGUUGGAUCACACAAUAAACGAUAUUUAAAUGACUUAAUUAUUCACAAAUCACAGCCUUCUCAUUGGCUCAUUUCGCACCUCUUGAAUUCAACACAACGCACUAAUGGUCAACCUUUGACCUGAACCCUGGGCUCUCGUAAACAUUCGCGCUAGAUUCAACUCGUGCCACGAGCAGCCUGGCUCAUCUCCACACUGUUCCACACUUCAAGUAGCUUGUAUUUCUUCAUUUAGGUGAGUUAAAGCAUCAUCAUAAGAUCUGAAUAAUUCUGUCAGUACUCUGUAAGCAUGAUUUAAUCCUAAUAUUUGUAUCAGACUUGUACAGCUCAGAUUCUCUAACGUUCUGCACAACACACUGCAAACAUGUGACAGGGCACACUGGGUGUCCUGUACACGCAGUUAAAACACACACAUUAUUCGCACUCGUAUCUUGGGGCACUUUCUCUCACGUCCUCUAUCCCAAUCCUCCCAUAAGGUAGCGAGCAAUCUAAAGGCACAAUGACAUGGAUAAGUGUCUGAAUAGAACCAGACAAUGAUUUCGUUCUUCAAGUUCUCAAUCGCGCUAUCUAAAGAAGAUGUAAAAGUACCAAUCACCAUUCACACUUAACUAACUACUGUAACUAAUGUGUAACCAGACAUGUAUUACUGUAACUUAUAAGAAUGAAUCUGUCAGCCUAAUUGUUCAGGUGAACAAAUAACAAGUAACACUUUAUUAAUGGAUUUCAAUUAACAGUGAGGCUUUCAUGCCUAAUUCAACGUUGACGUAAUUCAACUCGAAAAUGUAUGCAAUGCAAUUACUAAGUAUAAGAGUUCAAAUGUACAUUAUAUACAGAUGUGUUGUCACUUUUGUCAGACAACCAAUCAUUUACCUAAGUGAUACUAACUUAAUUGUAUAGACUAUAAUAGUAGAUGCAGUAUUAUGUUAAAGAGUUCUAUAGGGACAGGUUUAAGAUGUUACAAUAAUAGAUCAUUAGCAACUGAAUUCUAUUCCAAAGUGUACCUUUUCUUUCCUUCUAAAACAUGAGAAAGUAAUUCUAUUCCGGGCACAACAUAGCCACUUCAUCUUACGGUCAAUCUAGGCUGACCAGCAGCCAUCCAAUAAUUACUUCAUUCCAAGUUCAAGUACAAAUACUUAACUGCCUUCCUUCUUAUUGCCUAGGCAUAAUCAACUUAUGGUAUUCGGAUUCACCGCUCAACGGGUAUUUUACUUACUGGUCUAUCCACCCCUAAUCUCGUCAUGGCAGCUCACUCUGUCGGCAUAACCAUGCGAUCUUUAAUCCUUAGGUCUUUACAAUAGGUUAUAGCCUCAAAUUUCCAAUUCCUAUCCUAUUGCUAACUUCCAGAAUUACUAAUCAGUUCUAAACGUACUUCAAUCUUAAGACAACCGGUUUGUCUAGGGAUUCGUUCCUUGCUCUCUGUAAUUCAGUGCUUAUUAAGGGAUCAUUAUCAAUAAGUGUUACUAAGAUAAAAUAUACAUGUAAGUUACAGCUCCAUAAAUACAUAAGCUACUUAUAUUAAUUUGUACAUCAUUAAUUGUUGAAUUGUGAAUCUAUUUACAAGUGACUAAAUCUUAUGCAAGUAAUAGCAUCAGAUCGUAUUUACUUUGUUCAUAAAUAUGACGAAUAUAUUUAAAGUACAACUAUAUAGAAUACAAUUAUUAAAUAUACAAAUGUUCAAUAUAUAUAAGUUACAACUGCUUUACAUGUAGAUAGAUAUAUUCUUAAACUACUAGGUACAGGUGACAGACUAAGUUACUGAGGCCCUCAGCCUCGUCCUCCAGAAAUUCAUAUUACUAGUAAUGUAUUAGGUCACACAGCAGAUAUGGUCUAUAGUCUAGAGUAAAAAUCGAUAAUAAAAGAGAAAAUGUUCCAAUGACCAAUUAAAUAAUCAGUCCUCCAUUGAAUAAUAAGCAGUAGCACUAAUAUUCAAUAUCUCACAAAUAGAUAAAAGUUUGUACAUGUAUAAACAUUCUUAGAACUACUUGUCACAGAAACCAGAUUGGAAUUGGUUAGACCUUUAGGUAUACCCGCAAAGGAUCAGUUAGUCAAACUAUCCAGCGACCUGAAGUACACCUAAUUUCAGCGUAGCUAAUGAUUUAUUAGCUACAAAGAGUAAAAUCUCUCAACCAAAAGUAAUAAAUAAAGGGAAUAUGUUCACCACUUCCAAUGCUCAUUUCUUAACAGUGACUGUGAUUUCUGAACUGACAUCUCUGUAAUGCAAUAUAAUUGUAAAGACAUUUUAUUAAGUGUUGCAUUAUUCAAUAAAUAAUUACUGGCACAGUAAUAUAAAAUCCAAGAA